GUCCCAUUCGGAUUGUAGUCUGNAACCCGACUACAUGAAGCUGGAAUCGCUAGUAAUCGCGGAUCAGAAUGCCGCGGUGAAUACGUUCCCGGGUCUUGUACACACCGCCCGUCACACCAUGGGAGUCGGAAAUGCCCGAAGUCAGUGACCUAACCGAAAGGGAGGAGCUGCCGAAGGUGGAGCCGGUAACUGGGGUGAAGUCGUAACAAGGUAUC
rnacentral:rRNA from 1 species